rnacentral:rRNA from 1 species
GUAGGUGGCAAGCGUUGUCCGGGAUUUACUGGGGCGUAAAGAGCGCGCAGGCGGCCAGGGUCAGUCGAAUGUGAAAGCCCCCGGGCUCAACUGGGGAGGGUCAUUCGAUACUGCUUGGCUUGAAGAUAGGAGAGGGAAGUGGAAUUUCAGGUGUAGUGGUGAAAUGCGUAGAUAUCUGAAGGAACACCAGUGGCGAAGGCGACUUUCUGGCCUAUUCUUGACGCUGAGGCGCGAAAGCUAGGGGAGCGAACGGGAUUAGAUACCCCGGUAGUCCUAGCCGUAAACGAUGAACACUAGAUGUUGGUGGUAUCAACCCCGCCAGUGUCGUAGCUAACGCAUUAAGUGUUCCGCCUGGGGAGUACGGCCGCAAAGGCUAA